rnacentral:tRNA from 1 species
AAAGGAGUAGUAUAAUAGUGAUUAUUAUUUUUGAUUUGAGAUCUUAAGAUAUUGUGUGAAUAAUUUCCUUUU